rnacentral:rRNA from 1 species
GACGAACGCUGGCGGCGGGCUUAACACAUGCAAGUCGAACGGAAAGGCCCUGCUUGUGUGGGGUGCUCGAGGGGCGAACGGGUGAGUAACACGUGAGUAACCUGCCCUGGACGUUGGGAUAACUUCAGGAAACUGGGGCUAAUACCGGAUAGGAGCUCGUGCUGCAUGGGGGGGGUUGGAAAGUUUCGGCGGUUGGGGAUGGACGUGGGGCUUAUCAGCUUGUGGGUGGGGUAGUGGCUUACCAAGGCAUUGGCGGGUAGCCGGCCUGAGAGGGUGGCCGGCCACAUUGGGACUGAGGGACGGCCCAGUCUCCUACGGGGGGCAGCGGUGGGGAAUCUUGCACAAUGGGCGGAAGUCUGAUGCAGAAGCGCCGCGUGCGGGAAGACGGCCUUCGGGUUGUAAACCGCUUUCGCCUGUUACGAAGCGUGAGUGACGGUAAUGGGUAAAGAAGCACCGGCUAACUACGUG